GACGAACGCUGGCGGCGUGCUUAACACAUGCAAGUCGAACGGAAAGGCCCUGCUUUUGUGGGGUGCUGAGUGGCGAACGGGUGAGUAACACGUGAGUAACCUGCCCUUGACUUUGGGAUAACUUCAGGAAACUGGGGCUAAUACCGGAUAGGAGCUCCUGCUGCAUGGUGGGGGUUGGAAAGUUUCGGCGGUUGGGGAUGGACUCGCGGCUUAUCAGCUUGUUGGUGGGGUAGUGGCUUACCAAGGCUUUGACGGGUAGCCGGCCUGAGAGGGUGACCGGCCACAUUGGGACUGAGAUACGGCCCAGACUCCUACGGGAGGCAGCAGUGGGGAAUAUUGCACAAUGGGCGGAAGCCUGAUGCAGCAACGCCGCGUGCGGGAUGACGGCCUUCGGGUUGUAAACCGCUUUCGCCUGUGACGAAGCGUGAGUGACGGUAAUGGGUAAAGAAGCACCGGCUAACUACGUG
rnacentral:rRNA from 1 species